rnacentral:lncRNA from 1 species
AGCAGGAUCAGAUGUUACGCUGGAGCUUUUCGGUGAGCUCCCCACUGAAGAAGAUAGACUACUCGAGACCGAAACACCAUCUAUCUUGUUUGCAUACACGGUUUGGUUCUUUCUCAUCGCCUCCAUCUCUUGCCCAGUCGGCACAAAGGUUCUAGACCGGUACUUCUUUGCCCCCUCGUCUCCACCAUCGGUAUGGUUGUAGAGUACAUAAUCGUGAUAAGUAGGAGCAAACUGCAAUAACAACCAAUCAUCAUCAGAAGGCACAAAAUGAAAACGUAAAAUCGUUCAAAACAAGAUGUCAAGAUCAGUUACUUACCUGGUGGACAGUGUCAUGGUAGAAGUCAUUUAGCUUCACAGCGUGUGAUAAGCUCCCUGAGAAGCUGCCGGCUCCACCAACAUUGGCACCUGCAUACUCCUUGUAUGGGAAAGCAUAGAAAUGGCAUGCUGCAGCAAUAAGCAUCUCCACACAUAUUAUGAAAUUUUGAAAAUGAGCCGCUUCCUCUGCGGUCUGUAUGAAUCCAGACUUUGCAGCAAGAAAGACAAGAACACCCUGUUCAAAGGAAGAGAGUCAUAUAACACAAAAGUCAAGAGUUGUAUUAACUAACAUCAAAAUAAAAGCAGUGAAUGAAUGAAUGUAGUACUUGUUUGGUGGGUUAUAAAUCGAAAUUACUCCGUUUAUGAGGUCACUUUAUCGAAAACAAUAAAACUAAUUACUAGUACUAUAGCUUAGAAGAUACACAUUCAUUGAAUCAGAAGACAUUUUCUAGUAGUGGAAAACGUGAAAAUAAUACGUAUCAUCCAAGACAAAUAGUUCAGAGAAUUUUAAGAGAAUGUACCCUUUUUGUUGGUAUAGAUUACUUUUUAUAAAAAGAGUGACAAUAUAAAAAGAUGUGCUCAUAAAAAAAAUUCUACUAUACAAAUACUACUAAUUUUGAUAUAAUAACUCCUUUUAACUUUUUGUGGUCACACAAGAAGAUGAAAUAGUUUAUGUUUGGUGGAGCAUAGUAAGUGUAAGUUAGGUUUGUGAAGAUGUGACAUCGGGAAUUAUAGAAAGGAUAUGCCUAACUCCUUUGCAUUUACUAUGCUUGGUUUUUGUCAAAUACCAACCAUCCUAAGACCAAGACAUCUCUUAUGCAAUAAUGUCACAAGUGUAAGUCAGGUACACAAGUUCCUCAUCUGCUCCGUAGCCUUUAGCCGUCAAGGAGUGUCAAGAACUUUGUUGUUUAUUACCAUGCUCUCAAAUUUAAAAUGCCAAGAACACACAACAUGUAGACAGACUUUUAAAGAUGCUCCAAACUCAUCUAGUUACAUGUAUAUUCGAAGCAUGUUACUCAGCUGCUAAACAAUUCACAAGCUUGAGAAGCAAUUAAAGACAAGUUUCAAGCCCUAGUAUAUCUACACAGCAGGCAAGGACAAGAAACAUGCUUAGUAGAAGACUCAUCACAUAAAGCUACAAGAGCUCAAGGCAAACGGGUUUACAAGCUUUCCUCAAGUUCCCUACUAACAUCUUCCAACUAAGAACACACCUCAGAAGAUUCAUCUGAAUCCAGCUUUCUACAUCUUCUUCUUUCUGCUUCUAUCUAGGCCCCACUUUCACUUGCUGAGGGGACGUUGCUGGGGAAACUAGAUAUAUCAAUGUCAAUGAGCGACAUAUCAUACAUUGUAUCAAGAGAAUCCAAUCCAUCAACAAGCAACGAAGAUUUCGCAGCAGGAUCAGAUGUUACGCUGGAGCUUUUCGGUGAGCUCCCCACUGAAGAAGAUAGACUACUCGAGACCGAAACACCAUCUAUCUUGUUUGCAUACACGGUUUGGUUCUUUCUCAUCGCCUCCAUCUCUUGCCCAGUCGGCACAAAGGUUCUAGACCGGUACUUCUUUGCCCCCUCGUCUCCACCAUCGGUAUGGUUGUAGAGUACAUAAUCGUGAUAAGUAGGAGCAAACUGCAA